UCUUGCAAAUUCAUUGAUGAAGGUGUCAAUUUGAUGUGUUCAAUGAGAUAAGGUCAUUGGGAUAAGUGCAUAGGCAUCUACUUCAGUUGCAUUGAGUUACCAUAUCCAAUCUCAUUGAGCAAGGUGCCUAAUUGUUUCUUAUUGACAGCCUAUCAUCAAGAAUCAGAGUAAUAUUUGGAUAUCAUUUUCACCAAGCACUUGAACAUCGCAAACAAAUUUAAUUAAAUCUCCCAAGGUUACUGAAAUAUCAAAAAUUGUUGGUGGAAAGAUUGAUAUUUAAAUCACAGGGAGAGUGAUUAAUAUUUGGACAAGACGUUGUUCAGGCUACAAUGGAUUCUUCAUAUCUUUGGAUAUUUUUUUGAGGUUCUAACAUUAAUUUAAAAUAUAAGACUUUUGUUGGGAGCUUGAUUCUAAUGUUGAAGAGAGAAAAGUAUUCUCAUAAUGGAUUUUAUGUAUUGGUGAUGGAAGUAUAGAAAAAAACAACGAUGUAGAUAUCAACAUUGGUAUACACUUGAUGCAAUUCUACAUAGCACAUAUCCUAAUCUUUUGCAGAACAUGGAUGACCCAUCAUUUUUUCAAGAUACUUUGGAUCCCAAAAAUGCAAUUGUUGAUAUGGUAAUUGAUCACAUGUUAGAUUUGAUGUCCGAUGAAAAAAAAAAUUAAGUUGUGAUUCUCCGUAUUAUGCCAAGUCAAGCAAUGGAACAUGGUUAGUAAUUAUAAAGAUGGAAAGAUAUGUCCUUGAAGAUAAUGUAAUAUCAGAAAGCAAUAUUGGUCAGAAGGUUUAUAUCUCAAGAUUAUCAUUGACUCCUUCUGAAAAAAGGCUCCCUUUCAUGUUUCAACGACAACAAUUUUCAUUGAUCGUUUCAUUUGUUAUGACUAUAUAUAAAAGUCAAGAGUAAUCACUUAAGCAUGUUGGGGUAUAUUUGCCUCAAUCAAUUUUUUUUCAUGGACAACUAUAUAUUGCAUUAAUGUCAAGAGUUACUUCAAGGACUUGAAGAUAUUGGUUAUUGAUGAGGAAGGUGAACAUAUAAAUAUGGCAUUCAAUAUGGUUUAUAAAGAAAUAUUUCAAAUAAUGGUCAAAUUCUACAAAACUAAAAUCAUACUCAAAUUCUACUAAACUAGACUU